GAUGAACGCUGGCGGCGUGCCUAAUACAUGCAAGUCGAGCGAACAGACGAGGAGCUUGCUCCUCUGACGUUAGCGGCGGACGGGUGAGUAACACGUGGAUAACCUACCUAUAAGACUGGGAUAACUUCGGGAAACCGGAGCUAAUACCGGAUAAUAUAUUGAACCGCAUGGUUCAAUAGUGAAAGACGGUUUUGCUGUCACUUAUAGAUGGAUCCGCGCCGCAUUAGCUAGUUGGUAAGGUAACGGCUUACCAAGGCAACGAUGCGUAGCCGACCUGAGAGGGUGAUCGGCCACACUGGAACUGACACGGUCCAGACUCCUACGGGAGGCAGCAGUAGGGAAUCUUCCGCAAAGGGCGAAAGCCUGACGGAGCAACGCCGCGUGAGUGAUGAAGGUCUUCGGAUCGUAAAACUCUGUUAUUAGGGAAGAACAAAUGUGUAAGUAACUAUGCACGUCUUGACGGUACCUAAUCAGAAAGCCACGGCUAACUACGUG
rnacentral:rRNA from 1 species